rnacentral:rRNA from 1 species
UACGUAUGGUGCAAGCGUUAUCCGGAUUUACUGGGUGUAAAGGGAGCGCAGGCGGCACGGCAAGCCUGAUGUGAAAGCCCGCGGCCCAACCGCGGGACUGCAUUGGGAACUACCGGGCUGGAGUGCCGGAGAGGUAGGCGGAAUUCCUAGUGUAGCGGUGAAAUGCGUAGAUAUUAGGAAGAACACCGGUGGCGAAGGCGACUUUCUGGACUGUAACUGACGUUGAGGCACGAAAGUGUGGGGAGCAAACAGG